rnacentral:rRNA from 1 species
ACUGCUCAGUAACACGUGGACAACCUACCCUUAGGUCAGGAAUAACCCCGGGAAACUGGGAAUAAUACCUGAUAUUGCGCGGAUGCUGGAAUGCUUCGCGCGAGAAAGCUCCGACGCCUAAGGAUGGGUCUGCGGCCUAUCAGGGUAGUAGUGGGUGUAACGUACCUACUAGCCUACGACGGGUACGGGUUGUGAGAGCAAGAGCCCGGAGAUGGAUUCUGAGACACGAAUCCAGGCCCUACGGGGUGCAGCAGGCGCGAAAACUUUACAAUGCUGGCAACAGCGAUAAGGGGACCUCGAGUGCCAGGAUACAAUCCUGGCUGUCGUAAUGCCUAAAAAGCAUUUCAUAGCAAGGGCCGGGCAAGACCGGUGCCAGCCGCCGCGGUAACACCGGCGGCUCGAGUGGUAACCGCUACUAUUGGGUCUAAAGGGUCUGUAGCCGGCUGGAUAAGUCUCUUGGGAAAUCCGGCAGCUUAACUGUCGGGCUUUCAGGGGAUACUGUCCGGCUCGAGACCGGGAGAGGUGAGAGGUACUUCAGGGGUAGGGGUGAAAUCUUGUAAUCCUUGAAGGACCACCAGUGGCGAAGGCGUCUCACCAGAACGGAUCUGACGGCAAGGGACGAAAGCUAGGGGCACGAACCGGAUUAGAUACCCGGGUAGUCCUAGCCGUAAACGAUACUCGCUAGGUGUCGGCCACGGUGCGACCGUGGUCGGUGCCGUAGGGAAGCCGUGAAGCGAGCCACCUGGGAAGUACGGCCGCAAGGCUGAAACUUAAAGGAAUUGGCGGGGGAGCAC